rnacentral:rRNA from 1 species
GACGAACCGUGCGAACGUUAUUCGGAAUCACUGGGCUUAAAGCGCGUGUAGGCGGGAGGGCACGUCCGUCGCUGAAAUCCCCCGGCUCAACCGGGGAAGUGGCGCGGAUACGACCUUCCUGGAGGGGCGUAGGGGGACCUGGAACUUCCGGUGGAGCGGUGAAAUGCGUAGAUAUCGGGAGGAACACCAGUGGCGAAGGCGGUUGCCUGGAGCUUUGCUGACGCUGAUGCGCGAAAGCGUGGGGAGCGAUCCGG